AUUGAACGCUGGCGGCAUGCCUUACACAUGCAAGUCGAGCGGCAGCGCGGGGGCAACCCUGGCGGCGAGCGGCGGACGGGUGAGUAAUACAUCGGAACGUGUCCUUUCGUGGGGGAUAACCAGUCGAAAGACUGGCUAAUACCGCAUGAGAUCUCACGAUGAAAGCGGGGGACCGCAAGGCCUCGCGCGAUUGGAGCGGCCGAUGUCGGAUUAGCUAGUUGGCGGGGUAAAAGCCCACCAAGGCGACGAUCCGUAGCUGGUUUGAGCGAACGACCAGCCACACUGGGACUGGGACACGGCCCAUACUCCUACGGGAGGCAGCAGUGGGGAAUUUUGGACAAUGGGGGCAACCCUGAUCCAGCCAUGCCGCGUGUGUGAAGAAGGCCUUCGGGUUGUAAAGCACUUUCGGCCGGAACGAAAUCGCGCGGAUUAAUAACCCGCGUGGAUGACGGUACCGGAAGAAGAAGCACCGGCUAACUACGUGCCAGCCGCCGCCGUAA
rnacentral:rRNA from 1 species